ACUCAUGGGAGUGGAGGGAUAUGGUGGGAAGAUCAGCCCAACAGUAACCAGGGCAGGAAACCAUGAACUCAUGGGAGUGGAGGGAUAUGGUGGGAAGAUCAGCCCAACAGUAACCAGGGCAGGAAACCAUGAACUCAUGGGAGUGGAGGGAUAUGGUGGGAAGAUCAGCCCAACAGUAGGAUAUGGUGGGAAGAUCAGCCCAACAGUAACCAGGGCAGGAAACCAUGAACUCAUGGGAGUGGAGGGAUAUGGUGGGAAGGUCAGCCCAACAGUAGGAUAUGGUGGGAAGGU